rnacentral:rRNA from 1 species
AUUGAACGCUGGCGGCAGGCCUAACACAUGCAAGUCGAACGGUAACAGGAAGCGGCUUGCUGCUUCGCUGACGAGUGGCGGACGGGUGAGUAAUGUCUGGGAAACUGCCUGAUGGAGGGGGAUAACUACUGGAAACGGUAGCUAAUACCGCAUAACGUCGCAAGACCAAAGAGGGGGACCUUAGGGCCUCUUGCCAUCGGAUGUGCCCAGAUGGGAUUAGCUAGUAGGUGGGGUAACGGCUCACCUAGGCGACGAUCCCUAGCUGGUCUGAGAGGAUGACCAGCCACACUGGAACUGAGACACGGUCCAGACUCCUACGGGAGGCAGCAGUGGGGAAUAUUGCACAAUGGGCGCAAGCCUGAUGCAGCCAUGCCGCGUGUAUGAAGAAGGCCUUCGGGUUGUAAAGUACUUUCAGCGGGGAGGAAGGGAGUAAAGUUAAUACCUUUGCUCAUUGACGUUACCCGCAGAAGAAGCACCGGCUAACUCCGUG